AAACAGUCAAGGGGACGUCUGGCUCUAAGGACCCUCCCUUCCUGGCAGCACUGGGCGAGCUGUCUUUAGCCAGAUUUUCUCUAACUCCCCCCACCAAAAUGCAGCCAGGCUCCUGCAGAAGGAGUGAAGUCAUCUUCAGGACACCGUGCAUGAGACCAUCUCCUGGGCGUGUUUGCACUUUAGCAGAUCGUCGUUCACCCCUGAGAUUCUGGGAUCUGGGAGGGGCCCGUCCUCCUCUCCUGCCUCCAGGGGAGUGAAGACACACGGAGUUUUCUUUGCAGCUGUGCACUGACUGCUUUCCCACUCGCAGGCUCUGAGCUCCGUGCAGGCAAGAACAGGGCACAGUUUUGCUUUCUUCAUUUUCAGUUACCCACCAUCAAUUGUAGUCUGGAAGCAGAUGAUCCUUCUUCUGAUGGAUCCUCAGAAGACCAGUAGGAGCCAAACAUCUACCAAACCACUCACCUCAUGUCGUCUUAUCACAGAGGCAUUCUGUCACCUCACACCAUUGCUCGGAGAAGGUGUCAGAAGAAACGGGAGACCCCCCCGCGCCCAGGAGCAAGGUGCCACCCAGCGGGGUCCCUGUGGAGGCCGUGGUUCUGGAGGCCCCUGGAGGCAGGUGGUGGUGUCUGGUGACUAGGAUGGGACCUGCUGAGACACCUCGGUCUUUCUGGAACCUGCAGCUGGCAUCCUGGGAAACCCGAAGAAGCCGGAGCAGGGUGAGACUUCUCACCAAAGUCAGCUCUGUCUGCGGUGCUUGGUCGAGGCAGGAAGGAUUGGUUCAGGGAUGGACACAUGAUUUAAGUUCGCCCAGUCAUAGCAAAGCUUGCUACCUGCAGUGGAACAUGGAAGCUGGUGAUGUCAGGAUCCAAGUCUUCUACCACAAGACAAGAACGUGGAGGUGCUAGGGGGUUGCCACGGGGGAGAGCUAACUCCAGCUUUACCCUGGGAUCUAAAACCCAAUUUAUCUCUGAACUACUUAAUUAUGUAAAUGGACAAAAAGAAGAGGAAAAAAAAAAUCACCUUAUUGUUUAAGAAGAUUUGAAUUGGAUUUUCUGAUUAGAAUUCCAAGGAGAUGGAACUGGAGUGAAGAAAUCUGUUGAAGACCUAGAUUUCCAAUUAAUAAGUUGUAGGUUUCUGCAUACGGUGGUAUGUAUGUGCCUUGUUCAUGAUUUUUCAGUCUUCUAAGUGAAGAAAGGUUGCUGCCCCUCAGUCCUCGUAGGACCGCUAUGAGGAGAAGGAUCUGCCACAUAGGUGCUCAGAGUUCUGUUGGAAAGGAGAGAAGGGGAGCACCCUCAGCAGGGUUGACAUUGUGCAGACGGGAGUCCACUCUCUUCUGGUCACUGGGGUAUAGCAAAGCCUUCCAGAAUUUUCUCAGUCCCGUUCCCCUGGCAGUCACACAAUGGGCAGAUGAUGCCCUUUGUGUAUCUGGUUUGAUAGACAUCUCACAGUAUCGGUUCUCAAGGGGAAGGUUUCUUUCCUUAGUCUCUCCUGGGUUUUCUGCUUGGGGUUAGGAUGGAGGACAGAGGCAAGGAGUUGACUAGAGAGAGUGCCAUGCUGACUCGGGGAAAAGCUAUGGUAGGAGAGAGGUGACUACACAUUAGGUUGCAGAGAGAGCACAGAUGCACUUGCCUUGCCUAAGUUCCUCAUUUGUUUGCAGGUGGACAUUUUAAAAUAGCUCAGUGUACCAUUGGGAUAAGAAGCAGACAGCCAGGCUUUUUGGUCUGGGUACCAGCUCUCUGUGAAACACUGAGCUAGUGACCAAAUGACUGAAGCCUCCUGAGACCUCAGGUUUUCUCAUCUGUUAAAUGGGCAUCUUGUGCCUUCCCUGGCAACCUCAUCUUCCUGGUGUGGGGGUAAAACGAAAGAAUGUCAGUAAAAAUGCUUUGUAGGAAGAGAACAUACCUGGUGAAAUUCAGAAGCUGCCCAUGCUUUUGAAGGCUUCGUUCUUGCUCACUGAAGUGUUUUGCAGAGAGAAUUCUUGCUCUAUGAAUCAUCUAUUCCGGUGGCGUACCUCACAGGGCAUGGUAACUUCUGCUUACGGUAUCCAGGAUUCAGUGUGUACAUGUAGCUACUUUCUAGCAAAGGCCCGUGUCUCCUCAUCGUCCUCACCCACCACUGUCCUCACCUUAAGCCUCUGCAUCCUUAUCACUACUAUCAUUUAUUCAAUGCCAGAGGUCUGUCAGCUGUUCUGGUUGGUUCUUUAUGUACAUUUUUCUAGUGUAAACUCAGGCUAUCCCUGUGAGAUAGUAUCCCCUUUUCGCAUAGGAGAAAAUCAAGAUGCAGAGAGACUGAGUGUCCCAAGGUCAUGCGGUGAGUGGAGAGCUGUGCUGUAACCCAAGCCCCUGCCCUUCACUGCAGCGUGUUGCCUUUACCAAAGGGAGCCUUGGAAUCAGACCUGGAAGUUCUGAUCUCAUUCCAUUGCUUCAGCAAUUCAACACAAAGGCUCUGGUCCAACUCUUUUUCCUUUUGUGUCUCAGUAAGUAAGUAAUAUUUCAUCCCUCUCCCCUCUGAUCCCACCCUCAUUGCCAGAUUCUGGAACCGUCUGUGUGUUUCUGGUCUAUAGUUCAGUGUCUCUCCCCAGGCAUUCGAGAAAGGCAUUCUUCACAAAAAGGGAAAACACAUUUUAUUAAAGCAAACAUGCAAUCCUCAGCACUUUUACUUAUCUUAUUUAUACACUGCAGUGCAGCUUUCUAUGACCUAGUGAUUAUCAUUUCCCAGAGCUAUCAUCAUUUUAAAGCUACCUGUUCAUCCUGCUUCAGCAGAUGGCACUACGCUAGGAGUAUUGUAAGAGCUUAAAAGAAAGAAAAACAAACAAAGGAAAGAUAGGCGGUAGGGUCAGCUUGAGGAAGAACUCUCUUGCAUUGUCUGCAGACACUUUUCGCCUCAGCUGGGGCUGUGAGGUGGGAGGUGACACCCAGAGGACUCCAGUCACCAGGGAUGUGGAGGCGGUGGGUCCCUCCCCCCUUUUUUUCUUUUUCUCUAUCAAUUGGUGACCUGGAAUGGGCAGUCUGCAUACAGUUGGUUAAAGAAAGAAAUUCUUAUAUCUGAUCUUCCCAAUGAUACGUGUUAGAUUGAAAUCGUUCAUCCUUUUUUUUCAUCCCCCGACACUUUCUGAGCGCCUACCCCAUGUAGGGUGCCAUCCUGGGUUUGCGUUCCAGCUGCUGCAAAGAGUUCUAUGUCCUUGGGAAAACCCUUUGCUUCUGCAGACCUCAGUGCUACCUUCUGUGAAAUGAGGCAGCUGGCUCAGGUUCCUAAGUCUUCUCUCAGAAGCAAAGGACUGGGGCUCAUAAAAGUCUUUUAUGGAUAGAAAAUCCUAAAAUUGUGAACAAGCCAGGUUUAUUCUCCAAGGAGAACUCCUUGCAGUUACCAUUCAAGUUAGAUGGCCUGCUCAAGCUGAAUAAGGACCAAGCUAUCCCUCUUCUGUUUGAAAUUCUCUGAAAUUCUUAAUACCCUAGAGCAGUGUUGCUCAAGCUUUUUUUUUUUUUUUCCAUUAUCUGUCCCAUAAAGAAUCUUUUGAGACCUUUUUUUCCCUAAUCCACCCCCCACUCCCGUGUUGAGAUCUUAAUACCACAGAAAUAACAGUUACUAGUUUAUAUACUCAAUGGAAAAACCACUGGAGUUCAUAAGAUUUUUUUGGCCCCCAAGAACCAAAUUUCACUCCUUGGGAGUUAUAUUGC